rfam:Ovis aries breed Texel chromosome 16, whole genome shotgun sequence.
UCCCUGGUAGCUCAGAUAGUAAAGCGUCUGCCUGCAAUGCAGGAGACCCAGGUUCAAUUGCUGGGUCGGGAA